rnacentral:rRNA from 1 species
AACGAACGCUGGCGGCAUGCCUAACACAUGCAAGUCGAACGAACUCUUCGGAGUUAGUGGCGCACGGGUGCGUAACGCGUGGGAAUCUGCCCUUGGGUACGGAAUAACUCAGAGAAAUUUGUGCUAAUACCGUAUAAUGACUUCGGUCCAAAGAUUUAUCGCCCAAGGAUGAGCCCGCGUAAGAUUAGCUAGUUGGUGAGGUAAAAGCUCACCAAGGCGACGAUCUUUAGCUGGUCUGAGAGGAUGAUCAGCCACACUAGGACUGAGACACGGCCCAGACUCCUACGGGAGGCAGCAGUGGGGAAUAUUGGACAAUGGGCGAAAGCCUGAUCCAGCAAUGCCGCGUGAGUGAUGAAGGCCUUAGGGUUGUAAAGCUCUUUUACCCGGGAUGAUAAUGACAGUACCGGGAGAAUAAGCUCCGGCUAACUCCGUGCCAGCAGCCGCGGUAAUACGGAGGGAGCUAGCGUUGUUCGGAAUUACUGGGCGUAAAGCGCGAC